GAUGAACGCUGGCGGCGUGCCUAAUACAUGCAAGUCGAACGCACAGCGAAAGGUGCUUGCACCUUUCAAGUGAGUGGCGAACGGGUGAGUAACACGUGGACAACCUGCCUCAAGGCUGGGGAUAACAUUUGGAAACAGAUGCUAAUACCGAAUAAAACUCAGUGUCGCAUGACACAAAGUUAAAAGGCGCUUUGGCGUCACCUAGAGAUGGAUCAGCGGUGCAUCAGUUAGUUGGUGGGGUAAAGGCCUACCAAGACAAUGAUGCAUAGCCGGUUUGGGGGACUGAUCGGCCACAUUGGGACGGAGACACGGCCGACACUCCUACGGGAGGCUGCAGUAGGGAAUCUACCACAAUGGGGGAAAGCCUGAUGGAGCAACGCCGCGUGUGUGAUGAAGGCUUUCGGGUCGUAAAGCACUGUUGUAUGGGAAAAACAGCUAGAAUAGGGAAUGAUUUUAGUUUGGCGGUACCAUACCAGAAAGGGACGGCUAAAUACGUGCCAGCCGCCGCCGUAA
rnacentral:rRNA from 1 species